rnacentral:rRNA from 1 species
AACAAACGCUGGCGGCGUGCCUAAUACAUGCAAGUCGAACGGGGAACGCUUUCGGGAGAGUACUAGUGGCGCACGGGUGAGGAACGCGUGGAUAAUCUGCCUUAGAGUGGGGGAUAACUAGUCGAAAGAUUAGCUAAUACUGCAUAAGACCACGAGAGCCGCGGCUUUUGAGGACCAAGGCUUUUCGCUCUAAGAUGAGUCCGCGUAAGAUUAGCUAGUUGGUGAGGUAACGGCUCACCAAGGCGACGAUCUUUAAAUGGUCCGAGAGGAUGAUCAGUCACACUGGAACUGAGACACGAUCCAGACACCUACGGGAGGCAGCAGUAGGGAACAUUGCACAAUGGAGGAAACUCUGAUGCAGCGACGCCGCGUGAGGGAUGAAGGCCUUCGGGUCGUAAAGCUCUGUCGCAGGGGAAUAACACAAUGAAGGUACCCUGUAAGAAAGGAUCGGCUAACUUCGUG